rfam:Schistosoma mansoni, Puerto Rico, WGS project CABG01000000 data, contig: 0210
GGAGCGAUGGCUUCAUGUUUAAAGCGUUUGACUUUUAGCCAAAAGGUGGGAGGCUUACAGACCCCGCUCCA